AGUGAACGCUGGCGGUAGGCCUAACACAUGCAAGUCGAACGGCAGCACAGGAGAGCUUGCUCUCUGGGUGGCGAGUGGCGGACGGGUGAGGAAUACAUCGGAAUCUACUCUGUCGUGGGGGAUAACGUAGGGAAACUUACGCUAAUACCGCAUACGACCUACGGGUGAAAGCAGGGGACCUUCGGGCCUUGCGCGAUUGAAUGAGCCGAUGUCGGAUUAGCUAGUUGGCGGGGUAAAGGCCCACCAAGGCGACGAUCCGUAGCUGGUCUGAGAGGAUGAUCAGCCACACUGGAACGGAGACACGGUCCAGACUCCUACGGGAGGCAGCAGUGGGGAAUAGUGGACAAUGGGCGCAAGCCUGAUCCAGCCAUACCGCGUGGGUGAAGAAGGCCUUCGGGUUGUAAAGCCCUUUUGUUGGGAAAGAAAUCCAGCUGGCUAAUACCCGGUUGGGAUGACGGUACCCAAAGAAUAAGCACCGGCUAACUUCGUGCCAGCCGCCGCCGUAA
rnacentral:rRNA from 1 species